rnacentral:rRNA from 1 species
UGAGCCUACGGGAGGCAGCAGUGAGGAAUAUUGGUCAAUGGACGAGAGUCUGAACCAGCCAAGUAGCGUGAAGGAUGACUGCCCUAUGGGUUGUAAACUUCUUUUAUAUGGGAAUAAAACGUUCCACGUGUGGGAUUUUGUAUGUACCAUAUGAAUAAGGAUCGGCUAACUCCGUGCCAGCAGCCGCGGUAAUACGGAGGAUCCGAGCGUUAUCCGGAUUUAUUGGGUUUAAAGGGAGCGUAGGUGGAUUGUUAAGUCAGCGGUAAAAUUGAGAGGCUCAACCUCUUCGAGCCGUUGAAACUGGU